AACGAUGAAUCUCACUUGUGGGGGGAUUAGUGGCGAACGGGUGAGUAACACGUGAGUAACCUGCCCUUAACUCUGGGAUAAGCCUGGGAAACUGGGUCUAAUACCGGAUAUGACUCCUCAUCGCAUGGUGGGGGGUGGAAAGCUUUAUUGUGGUUUUGGAUGGACUCGCGGCCUAUCAGCUUGUUGGUGAGGUAAUGGCUCACCAAGGCGACGACGGGUAGCCGGCCUGAGAGGGUGACCGGCCACACUGGGACUGAGACACGGCCCAGACUCCUACGGGAGGCAGCAGUGGGGAAUAUUGCACAAUGGGCGAAAGCCUGAUGCAGCGACGCCGCGUGAGGGAUGACGGCCUUCGGGUUGUAAACCUCUUUCAGUAGGGAAGAAGCGAAAGUGACGGUACCUGCAGAAGAAGCGCCGGCUAACUACGUGCCAGCAGCCGCGGUAAUACGUAGGGCGCAAGCGUUAUCCGGAAUUAUUGGGCGUAAAGAGCUCGUAGGCGGUUUGUCGCGUCUGCCGUGAAAGUCCGGGGACUCAACUCCGGAUCUGCGGUGGGUACGGGCAGACUAGAGUGAUGUAGGGGAGACUGGA
rnacentral:rRNA from 1 species